ensembl:lncRNA
UCAAUCCGCACAUCACACAUGGGUACUGUGAUCGUGGAUGCUAAUACAUCGGAUUUAAUGCAGAUUUAUGACACCAUUGAUACUGUAUCUCCAGUGAAAGUUAUCAAUAAUGGAGACAGCAGCUCUGGUAGCUCCAUUCACAGCUCUGGAGUUCCUUCAGGAUGCUUUCCUGCUGACAGGUGAGGGUAAAUACCAACUUUCCACCACUUUUCCCACUCGGCGUCGCUCCGAUCUGCACAUCGCGGAGAAAACCAAUUGGGUGUCUGGAUGCUAAAUGUUUAUAUUCUCAUCUAAACACAAUCACAUUCACUGUCCGCAUAGCGCCAUUGAUCUGGAUAGGGUUUUCUUGUGUUUGUUUUUGAGCUGCGACAAGCCGGAAGUAACGAGGCUGUUUUUAAAAUGUAAGGAGUAGAAUGUACAGAAAUUGUCAAUUUCCUUGUUUAUUCUUGAGACUAUCUUUUUUUCUUUUCUUUCAUUCAAAUGAAGCACAUGACUUGGACAUGCUCCAUUGAAGACCAACACAUCAUGUGUAGAGCACUAAAGUGAAUAUGAUGUCCCUCCAAAUCAAUAAAAACAAACACAAACAGUGGAAGAAUCACCUCAUGUCAUUAUAGAAAACAGAAGGUGUGACAUGCCCACCAUACAUGUAGUGACUUGAGUAGUUACACGUGAGUAAAUGCAGCCGCCUAGUGGAGCGGCCACACGAGGCUCGGUUCACUUCAUGGAGAGAACCCGCUGUUGUUGGUCGCAGCUGAAUUCCUCCUGGAAGAGCCUUCGGACAUUAUUCGUCUGUGAGUGCAUGUUUUGUGUUGUUGUAAAGAUUUAGACAAUUUCGAAAGUAUGUUGAAUUUAUGUCACUGAAUUCUCCGCUGGAAAAUAGCAGCUAAACUAUGCUAGCUCUCUGUGUCAUGUUAUCCUGGUGCCACGUUGUUUUACGUGGUAUUUAUGUACCCUUUGUUUUGUCUGUUCCAGUUUGACAAUGAUCAAUCCGGCAUGAAUAAAUGCAGAGGAUGAAAACAUUAC